AGGGAAUAUUGCGCAAUGGACGGAAGUCUGACGCAGCGACGCCGCGUGAGCGAUGAAGGUCUUCGGAUCGUAAAGCUCUGUCCUUGGGGAAGAAGGUCUCCGGACUUGACGGUACCCAAGAAGAAAGCCCCGGCUAACUACGUGCCAGCAGCCGCGGUAAUACGUAGGGGGCGAGCGUUGUCCGGAAUUACUGGGCGUAAAGGGUGCGUAGGCGGCCCUUUAAGUCGGAUGUGAAAGCCCGCGGCUUAACCGCGGAAUGGCAUUCGAAACUGGAGGGCUUGAGUGUCGGAGAGGGUAGUGGAAUUCCCAGUGUAGCGGUGAAAUGCGCAGAUAUUGGGAGGAACACCAGCGGCGAAGGCGACUACCUGGACGAUAACUGACGCUGAGGCACGAAAGCUAGGGGAGCAAAC
rnacentral:rRNA from 1 species